rnacentral:lncRNA from 1 species
AGUUAUGUAACUGUCCAGCCACAAAUCACUUAUUAAACAACUGGAUUCAGAAGACCAAGAUCUGCAUUUGGGUCACUCCAGUUAUCUUGAGAUCUGGGACCCAGGUGGCUGGGGUGGCAGCUGAUCAUGUCAGGAGGACUCCUCUGCACAACAUCACAAGCACAGGAGAGAAUGCUAAACUUGAUUGGGAGCUCACAGAAGACCCCUGGAACCCAGAGCAAUAAGAUGAAUGCAUGAUAUCUCUUGGUAAAAUGGCCCAGAAGAAACACAGGAAGGAGUUAUGAAAAGAUAACACCCUGGAGUUUCGUACUCGGCAUUGGAUGGCUGCAUAACAUCCAGGAGAGACAUAAACAUAAGAAGAAAACUUAGGAAUGGAAUCAUUAUCAAGAAAAAACAAACCACAAAGGAAAGGGAAAUUUGGACCCAGAGAUACAUUCAGAGAGAAGAUGAUGUGAAGGCACAGGAAGGAUGCCCUGUGAACAUCAGGACCAAUGCCUGCAAACCUAGGAGAGAGGUCUACAACAGAUCCUUCCCUCGCAGCCCUCAGAUCGAACUGACCCUGCAAGUACCUUGAUUUUGGACUUCUGGCUUCCAGAACUGAGCAACAAUAACUUUCUGUUGAAGCCGUCCAGUUUUGAAGCCACCCAGUCUGUGGUGCUUGGUUACCGCGGCCCUAGCAAACUUGCCUGAGGCUUUCCAAAUCACAGCCCCGUUUUGUCACAGGGGAAGAAUUCUAAGAAGUUCUUUAUUUGGCCAAGUGAGGGAUAGAAGAAUAAUGAGCAUUUCCCUCAUCACAGCUCUGACAACUGCCUCAGCCACACACGGCUUAGGAGAUUGGCCACUUCCUCCGCCUUCAGCUUGCAGGGGGCUUCAGUAAUAAAUGUGUAGAAGUGUUUGGUCUUCUCAAUGCUGGGAAUCCAGGGAGUAUGGCCUGGCAUACAUGGAAACCAGUCCCCUAAAGACCUCAUUGACACAGGCCUCAUUUGGGGGUCUCCUCAGGCACUUCCCCCUUGGCUCCUGAGGCCAGAACCCGACCCUGCUGUGUCUCUCUUCCAUGCAUCUUUUUGCCAUCUCUGCUCUCUGGAAUCUGCAACAAUAUGAGGGUGCUCAGGACUUUGAUGUUGCUACUGACCUCAGCAUGCCCCAGUCCAAACCUACCUUCUUCCUCCUGGGCCCACAUCCGCUUCUGCUCCCCACUUCCCCAGUGUCUUCAUUCUUUUCAUCACAUGCUGACCAAAGACUCAUCUUUAGGCACUCUCUAUGUCCCUUCUGCUACAUCCACUCUGUUGCCACAUCUCCUGAAUUCUUCUGUCUGAUUUCUUCUCACUCUUCCUUUCCACCCUGGAUCAGUCCAUUGGGGCCGCAUGUCAGGACACCGGAUGACACUGUUUGGACACCUGGAAGGAUCGGGUAAAAGAUACAGAGAAGUCUAAGGAGGGAUAGGGUGAGUCUGGGAUGGGCUGUGGAUUAGGCACCAGGUAAAGCUAAUUGGGGGGUGGGUGAGGAAUGGGGUGAGGGUAUCUAUUGCAUCUAUUUUAUGGUAAUAAAAGGAAGUUGAAAGUUCAGUUGCUUGUUUUGGGGAAUUAAAAAUGAUCAUGAAUGUCAAAAUGUGAGCAACUUUGCACAGAAUGGCAAUAUCAGAGUGUCAUGGAUCAUCGCAGAAGCCUUCUCCUUGUUGCCUGCAUUUC